GCCUGGAUGGCUCAGUCGGUUAAGUGUCUGACUUCGGCUCAGGUCAUGAUCUCACGCUUUGUGAGUUCAAGCCCCACGUCAGGCU
rfam:Felis catus isolate Cinnamon breed Abyssinian chromosome A2, whole genome shotgun sequence.